rnacentral:tRNA from 1 species
GCCGAGAUCGCAUAAUCUGGUAUUGCGCAAGAUUGCUAAUCUUGUGUCCUCCGGGACAUACGAGUUCAAAUCUCGUCCGUGGCG